GCCUAUGUGGAUAUAACAACUUUAAAUUUGCAUACGCCCUCUGUACACACGCAGAUACAUGUUCGCUGAAUCUUAAAUCUGUAUCUAAAAUUACCCCCAAAUCCCUAGAUUUUUUUUCAAAGGGAUACAUCUACUUCAACGGCUCUUUGGAGGAGAAGGUGCUAAUAUAGAGUCUAUAAGGAAAUCGGCAGGGUGGACAUAAAAAUCGAAAGAUUUUCAAAGUUUUAGAAUAAACCUACAUUACCAGAUAUGUCUAAUUUUGCAGAAGGGUUUUUAAAAGAGUCGGUUGUUAAACACGUCUUAUAUAUAUAAUGAAUACAAUUACUAUUAUUAGGUUAAAUAAAUAGUUGUCAAAUAUC